ensembl:snoRNA SNORD33 Small nucleolar RNA Z195/SNORD33/SNORD32 family
GAUGUCUGUGAUGAGUUGAGUUCUUUGAGUUGCGCUAUGAAACCACCCUACAUGCACUACCAUCUGAGACUC